UUAACGGCCGCGGUAUCCUAACCGUGCGAAGGUAGCAUAAUCACUUGUUCUUUAAAUAGGGACUAGUAUCAACGGCAUCACGAGGGCCAUACGNCUCCUCUCUUCAAUCAGUGAAACUGAUCUUCCCGUGAAGAAGCGGGGAUUAGAAUAUAAGACGAGAAGACCCCAUGGAGCUUUANGCAAUACUUUCACCUUUUAUCACCACAUCAAUCUAAUAAAAAGGACUGAAUUUUANCUUUAGGUUGGGGGGACCGCGGAGUAAAAAUUAACCUCCACGACNAANGGGCAACGNCCUUAUCCACGAAUUACAGCUCUAAGAAUCAGAAUACUGAUGUUUAUUGACCCAUUUUAUGAUCAACGAACCAAGUUACCCUGGGGAUAACAGCGCAAUCUACUUCAAGAGCUNCUAUCGACAAGUAGGUUUACGACCUCGAUGUUGGAUCAGGGCAUCCCAGUGGUGCAGCCGCUACUAAAGGUUCGUUUGUUCAACGAUUAAAGCCCUACGUGAUCUGAGUUCAAACCGGA
rnacentral:rRNA from 1 species